GAUGAAGAACGUAGCGAAAUGCGAUAAGUAAUGUGAAUUGCAGAAUUCAGUGAAUCAUCGAAUCUUUGAACGCACAUUGCGCCCUCUGGUAUUCCGGGGGGCAUGCCUGUUCGAGCGUCAUUAUAACCACUCAAGCUCUCGCUUGGUAUUGGGGUUCGCGGUUCCGCGGCCCCUAAAAUCAGUGGCGGUGCAUGUCGGCUCUACGCGUAGUAAUACUCCUCGCGAUUGAGUCCGGUAGGUCUACUUGCCAGCAACCCCCAAUUUUUACAGGUUGACCUCGGAUCAGGUAGGGAUACCCGCUGAACUUAAGCAUAUCAAUAAGCGGAGGA
rnacentral:misc_RNA from 1 species